GACGAACGCUGGCGGCGUGCUUAACACAUGCAAGUCGAGCGGUAAGGCCCUUUCGGGGGUACACGAGCGGCGAACGGGUGAGUAACACGUGGGUGACCUGCCCUCAGCUCUGGGAUAAGCCCGGGAAACUGGGUCUAAUACCGGAUAUGACUUCAUGACGCAUGUUGUGGAGUGGAAAGCCUUGUGCGGCUGAGGAUGGGGCCCGCGGCCUAUCAGCUUGUUGGUGGGGUGANGGCCUACCAAGGCGACGACGGGUAGCCGGCCUGAGAGGGCGACCGGCCACACUGGGACUGAGAUACGGCCCAGACUCCUACGGGAGGCAGCAGUGGGGAAUCUUGCGCAAUGGGCGAAAGCCUGACGCAGCGACGCCGCGUGAGGGAUGAC
rnacentral:rRNA from 1 species